GAUGAACGCUGGCGGCGUGCCUAAUACAUGCAAGUCGAGCGAACGGACGAGAAGCUUGCUUCUCUGAUGUUAGCGGCGGACGGGUGAGUAACACGUGGAUAACCUACCUAUAAGACUGGGAUAACUUCGGGAAACCGUAGCUAAUACCGGAUAAUAUUUUGAACCGCAUGGUUCAAAAGUGAAAGACGGUCUUGCUGUCACUUAUAGAUGGAUCCGCGCUGCAUUAGCUAGUUGGUAAGGUAACGGCUUACCAAGGCAACGAUGCAUAGCCGACCUGAGAGGGGGAUCGGCCACACUGGAAAUGAGACCCGGUCCAGACUCCGAGGGGAGGCAGCAGUAGGGAUUCUUCCGCAAGGGGCGAAAGCCUGACGGGGCAACGCCGCGGGAGGGAUGAAGGUUUUCGGAUCGUAAAACUCUUUUAUUAGGGAAGAAAAUAUGUUUAAGUAACUGUGCAAAUUUGGCCGGUACCAAAUCAGAAAGCCACGGCAAACUACGU
rnacentral:rRNA from 1 species